rnacentral:lncRNA from 1 species
AUGUCAACACUUGGGACAAAACUACCUUUUAAAACAUUCAGAGAGUGGUUUACCAGAGUGCUCCUGGCUCAAGUCCCUGCUUGGACACAUGUUAAGUGUGUGACUGCUCCAAGCCCCUGUCCCCUCUGGGAAACUCAGACUUUGAGGGUACAGCCCCAGCUUCAGAAGAUUACAAGAAGUAGAUGGCUGUCUGGCAACUUUGAGUGUGUGUCCCACACACACUGCACCGCUAGUGAUCCACCGGAAAAUGUAUUGAGUACUGCGAUUAUCUUGUCAAUAACAAGUAUUGUAUCAUGAUUUUUUGUGUGUGGCAUUUAAAUUACAUCCAAAUUACUGCAACUUUCCUCAUUUUUAAUAUACUGGGAACCUUGAAAAUGUACUGGGGCCAGGCUGCUCUCCACUCUAGGUCCACUAGAGGAAGGAAACAGACGUCCUCCCCCCUUUUCCUGGCGGUGUGGCCUUAGGGAAGUAGUGGCAGGGGCAUGGGGAGCGCAGGCCUGUGGUUCUGGCCCAGCCUGGGGCCACCUAGGUGAGAGUGAGCCUGGGGUCCACCAAGGCGGUACUGUGAAAAUCCCCAUCGAGAGAGGCACAAUGAGAGACAAACCAGCUCAGGUUUGGUCAUGGUCCAGAAGCUGGCAUUUAAUUCUCCCUGAGGACCCCCAGGAAUAGGGACUAUUGCACCCAUUUUGCAGGUGAGGAAAGUGAAAUUCAGAGAAGUGAACUCUUUGCCCAGUGAACUUGUUCCAGCUAAUGAGGAGUGAGGGGUGGUGCUGGGAUGGAAACCCAGCCCCCCCUGGCCUCAGGCCCCUCACUCAUUCCCCUCCUGCCUGUUGGCACCAGGCUCAGGAUUCAGACGACGUCUCAACUUCCUGGUACCUAGCCAGCCUGGGAAGCCAAAGUCUCUGUCCAGGAAUUCGGGUGGUACUUGGGGCCAGUGCUGAGUGGGCACAGGCUGCUGGGGUGGCUGCCUUUUAGCAGGAUCGAAGGCAUCACUUCGUCCUUUGUCAGUUUUUGUUUGGUCAGAGUGAUGAAUUACUGAGCCAGAAGCCGAGAGAGGAGACGCCGUCUGGGCUGAGAUGGCCUGGGCAGGCAGGACCACGUGUCUGACCCUCAGGCUGGCCUGGAGCAGUAGUCCCUUGGGUCUCCAGACCCCUCUGCCAGGGGGCCUGGGUGUGUCUGGGAGGGCUCUCUGCUCAUAGGCAGGAGAGACGAGUACAGAAAGAGACUCUUCCGGAAGGUGAGUCUUCCCUGCAGGGUGAAGACAAGGUGACAGGGCUGGGCUCAGAAAGAAUAGCAC